UGGGAGUUGAAUUUAGGCAAUGAUCUCGCCAACCCGGUCAGGUCUGAAAAGAAGCAGCCGUAACGAUUUUCAUUGGGUUGAACUUCAGCUCCUUUUU
rnacentral:SRP_RNA from 2 species